rnacentral:rRNA from 1 species
CGCCUGUUUAUCAAAAACAUGUCUUUUUGAUAAUUAUUUAAGGUCUGGCCUGCUCAAUGAGUUGUUAAAUAGCCGCAGUAUUUUGACUGUGCAAAGGUAGCAUAAUCAUUAGUUUUUUAAUUGGAAGCUGGAAUGAAUGGUUGGAUGAGGAAGUUACUGUCUCAUUGUGAUUUUAUUGAAUUUUAUUUUUGAGUUAAAAAGCUUAGAUUUUAUAGAAAGACGAGAAGACCCUAUAGAGUUUAAUAAGUUAUGCUUGAUUUCUUUAGGUUUCGAUUUUUAAUUAGGUUUGAUCUUAUUUUGUUGGGGUGAUGUGAAAAUUGGCUUAACUUUUCAUUAUUUUUACAUUGAUUUAUGAUUUAUUGAUCCUGAAGUUUUGGAUUUGAAGGAUAAAUUACCUUAGGGAUAACAGCGUGAUUCUUUUAGAGAGUUCUAAUCGAUAAGGGAGAUUGCGACCUCGAUGUUGGAUUAAAGUUAAUUCUUGGCGCAGAAGCUAGGGUUAUAAGUCUGUUCGACUUUUAAAACUUUACGUGAUCUGAGUUUAGACCGG